rnacentral:lncRNA from 1 species
UGGGACUGGAGGUGGAGGUAUAGAGGUAUGGGACUGGAGGUAUAGAGGUAUGGGACUGUAGGUGGAGGUAUAGAGGUAUGGGACUGGAGGUGGAGGUAAAGAGGUAUGGGACUGGAGGUGUAGAGGUAUGGGACUGUAGGUGGAGGUAUAGAGGUAUGGGACUGUAGGUGGAGGUAUAGAGGUAUGGGACUGGAGGUAUAGAGGUAUGGGACUGUAGGUGGAGGUAUAGAGGUAUGGGACUGUAGGUGGAGGUAUAGAGGUAUGGGACUGGAGGUGGAGGUAUAGAGGUAUGGGACUGUAGGUGGAGGUAUAGAGGUAUGGGACUGGAGGUGGAGGUAUAGAGGUAUGGGACUGUAGGUGGAGGUAUAGAGGUAUGGGACUGGAGGUGGAGGUAUAGAG